rnacentral:misc_RNA from 1 species
AAAGUCGUAACAAGGUUUCCGUAGGUGAACCUGCGGAAGGAUCAUUAGUGAUAAACUCGGGUGUCUACUUUAUUGUAGAACCCAAACCUCUCACUUUCUUAACUCUGUGCAUUUUAUAUUGGCGGGAUAACGAUUGUUGUUGGAGCCGGUACCGAUUUUUAUAUUGGUGUCUUGGCUCUUUUGACUUUUUAUUACUCCUGCGGCUCAUUUUAAACAUUUAAAGUAUAUUGUGUGUUAAACAAAUUUUGUAAUAAAUUAAAGAAAAACUUUCAACAACGGAUCUCUUGGCUCUC